UUUUUUACAAUAUAGUUGAGAGGUUUUGGAGUGCUUGAUGCUGCCCAGAAGAAGAAAAUGACCUGCUUUCUGGUGCGUUGGCCUUCUAUUAAAUGUAGUGGGCUUGUUCCACCCCCACCCUAUCUGAAAAUUCCUGAUGCUGCAGUUGGCUGAAAGUCAGAUGGGAUGACCCUGAAGUCGUGUUUGUUAAAGGUGAGAGCAAGAUAACCUUGCUAAAAGGCAGACGAUGAUCCUGGAGUCGAGUUAAAAAGGUGGUGAAUCAAGGCCCUGGUGCUGGGUGUCCCAUCUUUAUCAACAGGAUGCUGUUGGAUACAGGACAUGGGACCAUGAUGUGGUGUACAAGACCACAGCAGACUGGAGUUGUCGAUUCCCUGCACAGGAACAACUCGAUGAAAUGCCACCAAAAUGCAGAAUUGAGGAACUGGGCUGAUGUGUGAACAGGAGUGAUGAGACCAGUGAAGUCUCAAACUCUCCUUACUGGUUAAAGUUUUAGGUAACUUUAUUGAAUUAAAAAUGUAUCUAAUUUAAAAAAGUCACAUGAGCUGAUGGUAUACACUUCUGUACCUCUGUAACCUCACUUUUAACCAAUAAAAUGAAAUGCACUAGUCUCACCAGAA